rnacentral:rRNA from 1 species
AACGAACGCUGGCGGCAUGCCUAACACAUGCAAGUCGAACGAGACCUUCGGGUCUAGUGGCGCACGGGUGCGUAACACGUGGGAAUUUGCCUCGGGGUAUGGAAUAACUCAGGGAAACUUGAGCUAAUACCAUAUAAUGUCUUCGGACCAAAGAUUUAUCGCCCUGAGAUAAGCCCGCGUAGGAUUAGCUAGUUGGUGAGGUAAAGGCUCACCAAGGCGACGAUCCUUAGCUGGUCUGAGAGGAUGAUCAGCCACACUGGGACUGAGACACGGCCCUAGACUCCUACGGGAGGCAGCAGUGGGGAAUAUUGGACAAUGGGCGAAAGCCUGAUCCAGCAAUAG